ensembl:lncRNA
GGCAGAGAGGACUCGCUCGCUUCGACCUCAGACGGACCGGUGUUGGGACACACAUGGGGGGCCUUGCAGCUCUCGGCCUGCUGCUGGCGUUCCCUCUGAGCUGCUCCCAGAGCACCCUGCAGUCUGAGCAGAUCGUCGCCCAUCGGGCCCCGGCAGCCCUUCCUCCUCCUCCUCCUCCUCCUCCUCCCCCGCCGCACAUCCACGACCUGCUCAGAAAAGAGGAAACCGCUCAUUUGAACACAAGGCGAACCUACGCCCGUGUAGACAAAGACAACGGCAGGGCGGGUCUGUUCAUCGCCGCCGCCAUGGGAACCUUCGCUCUGAUGGCCGCAGUCUACUGUAUCUACGACAAGUUCUACACCAAACAGCAGUACCUGCACACGCAGCUCAACGACGACUCAGAUUUAACCAUGGACCCCAUGGACCCUCCGCCCGUGUUUUUCUACGCCUCUCCCGGCUCCAGUGCGGUAGAUGUGCAGAGACGUGGUUACGGCUCGCUGUCCGACACCCCGUCCAUCAUCUCUGUGCCCCCCAGCCUGUCCCCCCCUCCCUCUGCCAUGCCCUUCCCUCCCUUCUUCCUCUCCUCUCACUCCCUGAGGACCAUAUCGGCCAGAGACCUGGAGAAGAGCUGUAUCUGACCUUCUGAUUGGAUGUUGUUUAAUAUGCACUUGGUUUUACCAUAUUCAUUGACAGCUUUCGUUUUUGCAGGCAAAUUACUUUGCUCACUAGAAAUUAAGGGACUUUUCCAGAUACUUGCUGCUGAUGGCAGAAGAAGCUCCACCUGCACCUCCCGCCCCAAACAUUUGUCUUUGCAUCUCCACGUAAUGUAAACACCUCCGUCCACAUUUGCAUAGCAACAUUAAACUCCACUCACAUUUAUUUCAUAGACACCAACAUUUCAGUGGUCGUUGAGUAUAUAAAAAAAUAAAAUGUUCCUGUUAUUAAAGAAAUGUUGUCUCGCUCAUUGCAGUCCCUAGUUAAAACCGGAUAUAAU